rnacentral:rRNA from 1 species
CACAGAGGUCUCAAGCGUUGUUCGGAUUCAUUGGGCGUAAAGGGCGCGUAGGCGGCGGGGUAAGUCAGGUGUGAAACCUCGGGGCUCAACUCCGAAACUGCAUUUGAUACUGCCUUGCUAGAGUACUGGAGAGGAGAUUGGAAUUUACGGUGUAGCAGUGAAAUGCGUAGAUAUCGUAAGGAAGACCAGUGGCGAAGGCGAAUCUCUGGACAGUUACUGACGCUGAGGCACGAAGGCCAGGGGAGCAAACGGG